rnacentral:rRNA from 1 species
UAGAGUUUGAUCCUGGCUCAGAACGAACGCUGGCGGCGUGCUUAACACAUGCAAGUCUAACGAGAAAGUUUCCUUCGGGGAAUGAGUAAAGUGGCGCACGGGUGAGUAACACGUGGGUAACCUACCCUUCAGCUUGGGAUAACACUUCGAAAGGGGUGCUAAUACUGGAUACGUUCAACUUGGCUUCGGCUGGAUUGGAGAAAGAUGGCCUCUACUUGUAAGCUGUCACUGAUGGAUGGGCCCGCGGACCAUUAGCUUGUUGGUAGGGUAACGGCCUACCAAGGCAACGAUGGUUAGCUGGUCUGAGAGGAUGAUCAGCCACACUGGUACUGGAACACGGACCAGACUCCUACGGGAGGCAGCAGUGGGGAAUAUUGCGCAAUGGGGGAAACCCUGACGCAGCAACGCCGCGUGAGUGAUGAAGGCCUUCGGGUCGUAAAGCUCUGUCAGAGGGGAAGAAGGUGAUGGGAUUAAUACCCCCAUUUACUUGACGGUACCCUCAAAGGAAGCACCGGCUAACUCCGUGCCAGCAGCCGCGGUAAUACGGAGGGUGCAAGCGUUGUUCGGAAUUACUGGGCGUAAAGGGCGCGUAGGCGGCCGUUUAAGUCAGAUGUGAAAGCCCACGGCUUAACCGUGGAACUGCAUUUGAAACUGGAUGGCUUGAGUAUGGGAGAGGGAAGUGGAA